UACAGAGGGUGCAAGCGUUGUCCGGAAUUACUGGGCGUAAAGGGCGCGUAGGCGGCCUUCUAAGUCAGACGUGAAAUCCCCCGGCUUAACCUGGGAACUGCGUCUGAUACUGGGAGGCUUGAGUAUGGGAGAGGGAUGUAGAAUUCCAGGUGUAGCGGUGAAAUGCGUAGAUAUCUGGAGGAAUACCGGUGGCGAAGGCGGCAUCCUGGACCAUAACUGACGCUGAGGCGCGAAAGCUAGGGGAGCAAACGGG
rnacentral:rRNA from 1 species